AACUGCUUAAAAAGUGAUUAAACAAUGCGUUUUUCCUUUUCUUUUGGAAUCUAAUCAAAAUUGAAAUGGAAAUCAAAUCGAGCUGGCGGCAAGAUCAAAAGCUCCCUUUCCGUUCCACAAAUCGUGCUCUAUUUACAAUAUCGAAAUUUGGCUGUCUAUAAAUUUGAUCAAAUGGAACAAGUUCAAAAGAUGCUCAGGUGUGUGCCACAGGCGAGGCGCCACAAAGUGGUUGCCACCCACACAGCCAAACAAAGCUGCCGACAGCGGAAGUAUCCAUCAAGGCAGCCAAUUGAGGGAGGCCAUCAAGAGGCACCCAAAAGAUUAAAGAUUAAAGACGAAGGGGAAGGGGAAGGCGAAAGCGAAUGCAAUGUAUCCGUGACUUCAAACGGGGGUCUGCAAUGCUGAUGCUGUUGUUGUUGUUGUUGUUGUUAUUGUUGACGAACCUGUUGAUGCCCUCUAAUUAUAAUUGAUAUUAUCUAAUUGAA